rnacentral:tRNA from 8 species
GGGGACUGUUAAGGUGACACGUUGGUUUUGCAAACCGACCUAGGUGGGUUCGAUUCCCACAGUUUCCAC